CAUUCCUUGCUGCACCCCAACUUUUCUGUGUGACCAGGCAAGUCUGGUUUCCCUGUACCUCAGUUCCUCAUCUGCACAAUGGGGACAACAGCCCUGCCCUGCCUUGCAGGGGCGUUGUGAGGGUGAGAGGAAGUGAUAUCAGUGAACCAGAGAUGCCAAAGGAAAUGACAAGAACGUUCCUUCCUCGCGUGUCUCCAUGGAUAACUCAAGAAAGUGGCCUCGCCCUUCGAAACAGCUUUCUUUCCCUCUGCUGGAUCGCUAGUGCUGAGCAGCAGCAUUUCCAGUGAGGUUUCAUGCUUCCACCUGAAUGGACAAUGGAGACAACGAAAGCCCAAUCAAGCCAAGUGACUUGUCCAACUUGAUGUUACCCAGAGAACCACUGCCUCAGAUGGGAAUUGAAGCCAGGAUGCUCAGUUGCUACACUUAGUUCUAACCGUUAAACUACCCUGCUUUGUCAUUUCGUAGGGUCACCUCUUGUUUGUGGACUGCCAAUGGGUGGGGGCAGUUUUCAUACAAAUAAUUGCUAGGGAUUUCCCUAAACUUCUGUCAGUCCUAACUGCUGCUUCUCGUUGGCUUUUGGAAUUCUGAAGUGAUGCACGUAGCUAAGGACAGAAGAGAUUUUCUACCUUUCAUGAGAGUCUCAUCCAUCCUACUCCCCUCCCAACCCAGGUCUAGUUCUUCAUUGAAGCCUUGUUGUUCCUCCUUGAUCUCCCUACACCUCCUCUGGUUCAUGGUGAUGUUCCACUC